CAGUAGCCGCGGGAAUACAGAGGGUGCAAGCGUUAAUCGGAAUUACUGGGCGUAAAGCGCGCGUAGGUGGUUAGUUAAGUUGGAUGUGAAAUCCCCGGGCUCAACCUGGGAACUGCAUUUAAAACUGACUGACUAGAGUAUGGUAGAGGGUGGUGGAAUUUCCUGUGUAGCGGUGAAAUGCGUAGAUAUAGGAAGGAACACCAGUGGCGAAGGCGACCACCUGGACUGAUACUGACACUGAGGUGCGAAAGCGUGGGGAGCAAACAGGAUUAGAUACCCCCGUAGUCCCUGUCUCUUAUAC
rnacentral:rRNA from 1 species